rnacentral:lncRNA from 1 species
AUGCUGCAAAGAAAGAGCUUUGCUGCCUCUAUAACUUCACCCCUCCAGAGGCCCCAAAAGGCAGAGGAUGCCGCCCUCCACCUCCUGCAAGCAGAAUCCAUCCGCAGGGUUUCACAAGAGAGGGUGCUGCAAAUUACCAGCAUCGGCGCCCCAAGGAGCAGGAACGGGGGUAAGGAGACCAGUAAGGCCCCAGCCACGUCGCUUUCCAGGGGGAGGGAUUGGAUGCCCUGCUCCGCCCAGAUCCCAUCCCCCACCUUUUCAGGACCCAGAUGGCGUGGGGGGCUUCCCAUCCAUCUGCCUACUGAAUUGGGGGACUGGGAGAGGACUCCCAGGGGACCCACUAUUGACCUUUUAAUUCACCAGUAGAUACACAAGGCUAAGCUGUACACUUUUAUGCAGUUUUCUCUGGGUGUUAUAUUUCACAAUAAAAAUAUCUUAAAUUCCUGGCACUUUGGGAGGCUGAGGUGGGAGGCUCACUUGAGGCCAGGAGUUUGAGACCAACUUAGCCAACACAGUGAGACCCUAUCUCUACAAAAAGAAACUAAAAUUUAGAAAUGCUAAAUUGGCCAGGCAUGGUGGCUCACGCCUGUAAUCCCAGCACUUUGGGAAACCAAGGUGGACCGAUCACCUGAAGUCAGGAGUUUGAAACCAGCCAGGCCAACAUGGUGAAACCCUGUGUCCACUAAAAAUACAAAAGUUAGCUGGGUGUGGUGGCAGGAGACUGUAAUCCCAGCUACUUGAGAGGCUGAGGCAGGAGAAUUGCCUGAACUCAGGAGGCAGCAGUUGCAGUGAGCUGAGAUAGCGCCACUGUACUCCAGCCCGGGUGACAGAGUGAGAUUCUGUCUCAAAAAAAUAAGAGUUAAAGUUUAAAAAUAUAAAUAUUUUAAUAAAAGAAUAAAUGAGUGCAGAAAAUAUAAAUUCAAUAUUUACUAGGUACCAAGUAUGAUGGCAAUCAGAGCUGAAUUUGAGCCUGAGGCUGGCAUGGUGUUCUGACUCCAAAGCCCCAGAUUCCCUAACCUAUACAAAAGAAUGAGGAAUAAAACCAGCUAGUGGGGCCACGAGAUCCUCACAGGCAACUCCUUAACAUACUAGAGUGUGGUGAAUUGCAGGGAUGGCCUCAGUCUUCAUCCCUCCUUGUCUCCAUGCUGUUUGCCACACACUUUUGCAGUUCUUCUCACUAAAGAGGCAGGGUUCAUUUCCCCACCCCUUGUGUCCAGGCUGUCCUGGACACUGGCUUUGGCCCAUGUCAUGAGACAGAAGGGACAGUGCAGCAGCUCCAAGCCUCGGCCUCAAGAGACUUAAUGCAUCUCACUUACCCCCUCGAGUUUCUGCUGUUGUC